UGGGGGAUAUUGCACAAUGGGGGAAACCCUGAUGCAGCGACGCCGCGUGAGGGAAGACGGUUUUCGGAUUGUAAACCUCUGUCUUCGAGGACGAUAAUGACGGUACUCGAGGAGGAAGCCACGGCUAACUACGUGCCAGCAGCCGCGGUAAUACGUAGGUGGCAAGCGUUGUCCGGAAUUACUGGGUGUAAAGGGAGCGCAGGCGGGAAGAUAAGUCAAGUGUUAAAUUUAUCGGCUCAACCGAUAAUCGCGCUUGAAACUAUUUUUCUUGAGUGAAGUAGAGGUAGGCGGAAUUCCUAGUGUAGCGGUGAAAUGCGUAGAUAUUAGGAGGAACACCAGUGGCGAAGGCGGCCUACUGGGCUUUAACUGACGCUGAGGCUCGAAAGUGUGGGGAGCAAACA
rnacentral:rRNA from 1 species